AUUGAACGCUGGCGGCAUGCCUUACACAUGCAAGUCGAACGGCAGCACGGGUGCUUGCACCUGGUGGCGAGUGGCGAACGGGUGAGUAAUACAUCGGAACAUGUCCUGUAGUGGGGGAUAGCCCGGCGAAAGCCGGAUUAAUACCGCAUACGAUCUACGGAUGAAAGCGGGGGACCUUCGGGCCUCGCGCUAUAGGGUUGGCCGAUGGCUGAUUAGCUAGUUGGGGGGUAAAGGCCUACCAAGGCGACGAUCAGUAGCUGGUCUGAGAGGACGACCAGCCACACUGGGACUGAGACACGGCCCAGACUCCUACGGGAGGCAGCAGUGGGGAAUUUUGGACAAUGGGCGAAAGCCUGAUCCAGCAAUGCCGCGUGUGUGAAGAAGGCCUUCGGGUUGUAAAGCACUUUUGUCCGGAAAGAAAUCCUUGGCCCUAAUACGGUCGGGGGAUGACGGUACCGGAAGAAUAAGCACCGGCUAACUACGUG
rnacentral:rRNA from 1 species